rnacentral:rRNA from 1 species
ACGGAGGUCCCAAGCGUUGUUCGGAAUUACUGGGCGUAAAGGGAGCGCAGGCGGACAGGUCAGUCUGAAGUGGAAGCCCGGGGCUUAACCCCGGAAGGGCAUUGGAAACUGCUUUUCUUGAGUUCUGGAGAGGAAGGGAGAAUUCCCGGUGUAGAGGUGAAAUUCGUAGAGAUCGGGAGGAACAUCAGUGGCGAAGGCGCCCUUCUGGACAGCAACUGACGCUGAGACGCGAAAGCGUGGGGAGCAAACAG